GAUGAACGCUGGCGGCGUGCCUAAUACAUGCAAGUCGAGCGAAUGGAUUAAGAGCUUGCUCUUAUGAAGUUAGCGGCGGACGGGUGAGUAACACGCGGGUAACCUGCCCAUAAGACUGGGAUAACUCCGGGAAACCGGGGCUAAUACCGGAUAAUAUUUUGAACUGCAUGGUUCAAAAUUGAAAGGCGGCUUCGGCUGUCACUUAUGGAUGGACCCGCGUCGCAUUAGCUAGUUGGUGAGGUAACGGCUCACCAAGGCAACGAUGCGUAGCCGACCUGAGAGGGUGAUCGGCCACACUGGGACUGAGACACGGCCCAGACUCCUACGGGAGGCAGCAGUAGGGAAUCUUCCGCAAUGGACGAAAGUCUGACGGAGCAACGCCGCGUGAGUGAUGAAGGCUUUCGGGUCGUAAAACUCUGUUGUAGGGAAGAACAAGUGCUAGUUGAAUAAGCUGGCACCUUGACGGUACCUAACCAGAAAGCCACGGCUAACUACGUGCCAGCCGCCGCGGUAA
rnacentral:rRNA from 1 species